rnacentral:rRNA from 1 species
GAUGAACGCUGGCGGCGUGCCUAAUACAUGCAAGUCGAGCGAACGGACGAGAAGCUUGCUUCUCUGAUGUUAGCGGCGGACGGGUGAGUAACACGUGGAUAACCUACCUAUAAGACUGGGAUAACUUCGGGAAACCGGAGCUAAUACCGGAUAAUAUUUUGAACCGCAUGGUUCAAAAGUGAAAGACGGUCUUGCUGUCACUUAUAGAUGGAUCCGCGCUGCAUUAGCUAGUUGGUAAGGUAACGGCUUACCAAGGCAACGAUGCAUAGCCGACCUGAGAGGGGGAUCGGCCACCUUGGACCUGAGACACGGUCCAGCCCCCUACGGGAGGCAGCAGUAGGGAACCUUCCGCAAUGGGCGAAAGCCUGACGGAGCAACGCGGCGUGAGUGAUGAAGGUCUUCGGAUCGUAAAACUCUGUUAUUAGGGAAGAACAUAUGUGUAAGUAACUGUGCACAUCUUGACGGUACCUAAUCAGAAAGCCACGGCUACUACGUG